rnacentral:rRNA from 1 species
GACAGAGGGGGCAAGCGUUGCUCGGAAUUACUGGGCGUAAAGGGCGCGUAGGCGGGAUGGCAAGUCGGUCGUGAAAUCCCUCGGCUCAACCGAGGAACGUCGAUCGAUACUGCUGUUCUUGAGGAUUGCAGAGGAGACUGGAAUUCCCGGUGUAGCGGUGAAAUGCGUAGAUAUCUGGAGGAACACCGGUGGCGAAGGCGGCAUCCUGGACCAACACUGACGCUGAGUGAGCGAAAGCCAGGGGAGCAAACGGG